ACUGAACGCUGGCGGCAUGCUUUACACAUGCAAGUCGAACGGUAACAGGCCGCAAGGUGCUGACGAGUGGCGAACGGGUGAGUAAUGCAUCGGAACGUGCCCGGUAGUGGGGGAUAACUGCUCGAAAGAGCAGCUAAUACCGCAUACGACCUGAGGGUGAAAGGGGGGGAUCGCAAGACCUCUCGCUAUUGGAGCGGCCGAUGUCGGAUUAGCUAGUUGGUGGGGUAAGGGCCCACCAAGGCGACGAUCCGUAGCUGGUCUGAGAGGACGACCAGCCACACUGGGACUGAGACACGGCCCAGACUCCUACGGGAGGCAGCAGUGGGGAAUUUUGGACAAUGGACGCAAGUCUGAUCCAGCCAUGCCGCGUGCGGGAAGAAGGCCUUCGGGUUGUAAACCGCUUUUGUCAGAGAAGAAAUCUUCUGGGUUAAUACCUCGGGAGGAUGACGGUAUCUGAAGAAUAAGCACCGGCUAACUACGUGCCAGCAGCCGCAGUAAUAC
rnacentral:rRNA from 1 species